GCCUUAAAUCUUUCACCAAGGGGAGAAUAGGGAGAGGCAUGCCGGGAGAGGUUUAGUUUGGAUGUUAGGAACAAUUUCUUCACUGCAAGAGUGGUCAGGGAUUGGCAGAGGCUGCCCAGGGAGGUGCUGGAGCCAGCGUCCCUGGAGGGGGUCAAGAAACAUGCAGAUAUGGCACCUGGGGACACGGCUUUAUGGCCAUGGUGGUCUGAGGUUGAUGUUUGGACUGGGUGAUCUUAGAGGUCUUUUCCAACCAAAACAAUUCUAUGAUUCUGUGUUUUGUCUCUCAUUGUUUUCCCCCUCCAUCGGCACAUCCUCAAACAGCUUUGGCUGGUGCUGCUGGGGUGAGCUGGAGAGGCAGCAGCUAGGGCAAUGUUCUCAGCCCUUAUUUGGACUCAGCUUUGGGGAAGAGCUGCAGUUUCCCAGCAGCCCUGGACCCCACGCUGGAAUCACAGAGCCAAAACCUGGGGUUUAUUUUUUGUAUCCAUGCAACUGAACUUGGGAAGAAAAUGAGACCAGCUCUGGCAGGAAUUCCUGCUCCAACAGCAAUUUCCUUCUGUACCGAGACAAAACAUCGAGUUGUGUUGUACAAGAAGGGGAAGCUGUGAACAACAUCCCUAGGGAAUCCUGGGAAGUGUGGACGUGUAAGAAGCCCACCAGAAGAACAGCUGAGGAAUGAAGGAGCUUCAGCUCUGUUCUGGAUCCUUUGGGAGAAGAGCAGCAGGAGGCAGCCUUGGGGGACCCUGCAGCUGUUCCCACCCCUCGAUCCGCAUGCAUCUGGGGGUACAGGAGCCAGACACCGUUUCUGAGCCUGGCUCUCCCCCAGCGUGGGCCCAUCUCCCUCUGCUGGCAAGCCAGGGAAGGAGCUGGGAGACCAAGCCGCCCCCAAGAAAUGUCCACAGUAGAAAGUGGCCGUGCCACUGCUUGCGUGACCAGGGAACCCGCCCCAGAACGGAAGGCAGCCCCACCUCGGCUGGAGAGCAGGUGACACUUUAUUCCCAAGGCAAAGCAGGUACAGCGAGUUAGUGUGUGAGACACCACGGAUCCAAAGCUGGAAUAUAAAUAAAGGACACAAAGAAGCAAAGUAGGGUGUAUUUUUUUUCCCAAAGACGUGGGAACUGGCUGCUCCCUGGGGCUCAGAGGACCGGAUGAAACCCACCAGAAGCAGAAGGCACUCAGCUCUUGACAGGAGUGGAUGUGGCCUUCGUGGUCUUCUUCAGGUGAUGGUAGUUCGGCAAAA